rnacentral:misc_RNA from 1 species
GAUGAAGUACGUAGUGAAAUGCGAUAAGUAAUGUGAAUUGCAGAAUUCAGUGAAUCAUCGAAUCUUUGAACGCACAUUGCGCCCGGUAGUAUUCUGCCGGGCAUGCCUGUUCGAGCGUCAUUUCAACCAUCAAGCCCCAGCGCUUGUGUUGGGGGCCUGCGGCUGCCGCAGCCCCCUAAAAGCAGUGGCGGGCUCGCUAUCACACCGAGUGCAGUAGUUCAUCUUCUCUCCGGUCUUGUGAGGCGGGUUCCGGCCGUGAAACACCCCACUACAUUCAAGGUUGACCUCGGAUCAGGUAGGAAUACCCGCUGAACUUAAGCAUAUCAAUAAGCGGAGGA